UACGAAGGGGGCUAGCGUUGCUCGGAAUCACUGGGCGUAAAGGGUGCGUAGGCGGGUUUUUAAGUCAGAGGUGAAAUCCUGGAGCUCAACUCCAGAACUGCCUUUGAUACUGAAAGUCUUUGAGUAUGGGAGAGGUGAGUGGAACUGCGAGUGUAGAGGUGAAAUUCGUAGAUAUUAGGAAGAACACCAGUGGCGAAGGCGGCUCACUGGUCCGGUACUGACGCUGAGGUGCGAAAGCGUGGGGAGCAAACAGG
rnacentral:rRNA from 1 species